UAGAGUUUGAUCCUGGCUCAGAAUGAACGCUGGCGGCGUGCUUUACACAUGCAAGCCGAGCGAGGCGUGUAGCAAUACACAGUCGAGCGGCGAACGGGUGAGUAACGCGUGGAUUAUCUGCCCUGAGGUGGGGGAUAACCCGGGGAAACUCGGGCUAACACCGCAUAUGACCGUGAGGUCAAAGGAGGCUCGCAAGGGCUUUCGCCAUAGGAGGAGUCCGCGUUCGAUUAGCUAGUUGGUAGGGUAAUGGCCUACCAAGGCGACGAUCGAUAGCCGGCCUGAGAGGGUGAUCGGCCACACUGGAACUGAGACACGGUCCAGACUCCUACGGGAGGCAGCAGUGGGGAAUUUUGCGCAAUGGGCUAACGCCUGACGCAGCAACGCCGCGUGGAGGAUGAAGGUCUUUGGAUUGUAAACUCCUGUCGACCGGGAAAAAGCAACUCGACCUAACACGUCGGGAAGUUGAUUGUACCGGUGGAGGAAGCCCCGGCUAACUCUGUGCCAGCAGCCGCGGUAAUACAGAGGGGGCAAGCGUUAUUCGGAAUUAUUGGGCGUAAAGGGCGCGUAGGCGGCCUGGCAAGUGGAUGGUGAAAUCCCUCGGCUUAACCGAGGAACUGCCGUCCAAACUGCUUGGCUUGAGACCGGGAGAGGUGAGUGGAAUUCCCAGUGUAGCGGUGAAAUGCGUGGAUAUCGGGAGGAACACCAGUGGCGAAGGCGGCUCACUGGACCGGUACUGACGCUGAUGCGCGAAAGCGUGGGGAGCAAACGGGAUUAGAUAC
rnacentral:rRNA from 1 species